GUGCUCACUUCAGCAGCACAUAUACUAAAAUUGGAACAAUACAAAUAACAUGGCCCUUCCACAAGGAUGACACAAAAAUUCGUGAAGUGUUCCAUAUUUUU
ensembl:snRNA U6 U6 spliceosomal RNA